rnacentral:rRNA from 1 species
GAUGAACGCUGGCGGCGUGCCUAAUACAUGCAAGUCGAGCGAACAGAUGAGGAGCUUGCUCCUCUGACGUUAGCGGCGGACGGGUGAGUAACACGUGGAUAACCUACCUAUAAGACUGGGAUAACUUCGGGAAACCGGAGCUAAUACCGGAUAAUAUAUUGAACCGCAUGGUUCAAUAGUGAAAGACGGUUUUGCUGUCACUUAUAGAUGGAUCCGCGCCGCAUUAGCUAGUUGGUAAGGUAACGGCUUACCAAGGCAACGAUGCGUAGCCGACCUGAGAGGGUGAUCGGCCACACUGGAACUGAGACACGGUCCAGACUCCUACGGGAGGCAGCAGUAGGGAAUCUUCCGCAAUGGGCGAAAGCUUGACGGAGCAACGCCGCGUGAGUGAUGAAGGUCUUCGGAUCGUAAAACUCUGUUAUUAGGGAAGAACAAAUGUGUAAGUAACUAUGCACGUUUUGACGGUACCUAAUCAGAAAGCCACGGCUAACUACGUG